GAGGUGCAGGUGGAGACUGAUCAGCUUGCAUGGGUUGCACUUCUUCUGUGGGGUGGGCUUGCACUGCAGGGCAGGAGCCUUUUGUAUAUCAAAGAAUGAAAAUUUACUCGUGACCCAAUCUCCAUCUGGGGCUGUAGGAAGAUCUGAAGAUGCUCAUAGGAUCCAGACUAUGGAUCUGUGUUGUUUUUGUUCGGACUGGAUCUUGGAGUUCUUUUCCAACCUAAACUUUUCUGUGGUUCUGUGUAUUAUAUCUGUGUGCUCAUCUCUGGAAAUAUUUAAGGCCAGCUGGAUGGGGCUUUGAGUAACCCAGUCGAGAGGGUGGUGUCCCUGCCCAUGGCAGGGGGGUUGUUGGAGCCCCACAAUCUCUCAGUUCCCUUCCAAUUCAAACAAUUUUUAUCUCCAUCUUGCCCAAACCUCAAAUCCAGUCUGUUUCUCCAGCACCCCCUGCCAGCAUUUCCUGCUCCGGAGCACUAAGAUUUUGAGGUGCAGUAUUUCACAUUAAGUGCUCGGUUUCCCUCCCCCUGGCAGGGACGAGGAAGGACAAAGCAGGCAGGAGCCCAGAGCAUGCACUCACUAGCUACUGUCUGCCAACAAGUUGGGAAAGUGCAAUGUUAUACGAAAUGUCUGGCUGUUAUAAAAGGCUUUGGUUAAGUAAUCACAUUUCUCUUGCAUAAGUGCUUGUUUUUGGGAGGCUUUAGCCAAUUGGAGGCUGCAGCAGCACACAGACAGAAAAUAGGGUUCGGAGGCGGAGACUCCCCAGCGCCGCUUGUAGCUGAACCACAGCUGUAAAACACUGCCAUAAAGCCUGUGUGGAUUCCUGGUAAGAUGGAUGCUCUACACAAGUUGAAGAUUUUGGUGAUGUUUCUGUCUCUGGCUACUUUCACGGUCAUGGUGAUAAUGAAUGCUGGAAAUGCCACUGGGACUUUCAAAGGUGUGUUCAGGACAACCCCUGGAAAUAUCUCUGCCAAGUACAGCACUGAUUUCACACCAGCUGGCUGGACUUUCCUCAUCUGGAACGUCAUCUACGCCUGGCAGCUCGCCUGGCUCCUCUAUGCCCUGUCGGGGAUCUGUCGAAGGAAUGAACUUGGAUAUGUCUUCAUAAAGCCAGACUUGCUGCCAACACCUUUUUAUGUGGCAUGGUGUCUGAAUAAUUGCCUCAAUGUUGGAUGGCUCUUUCUGUGGGACCGAGAAUACCUCCUUCCAGCCCUGGUGUUCCUGGCAGUCCUCUCUUUUACCACGUGUGCCUCCCUUUAUGUUUCCCACCGAGCCUUGAGCAUCCAUUCCUCGUGGUUUGUGAAGGCUCACAAAGCUGAGCUCUGGCUCAUCCGCAUUCUGGUGCAGAACGGGCUGGCCCUGUACCUGACGUGGACCAGCAUCGCCACGCUGCUGAACUUCGCCGUCGUGCUCAUCUACAAGUGGAAUGUGCCCAAUGAGAAAGCCACCACUGCUUCCCUGAGCAUCCUGGCUCUCAGCCUGGUGAUAUGGUUUUAUCUAGAAAACUACUUUCUUGACAAGUACGUCCGCUACAACCUCACAGUGUACCCAGUGGUGAUAGCAGCUCUGACGGGCAGCGCGUGCAGGAGCGGCUCGUUCUCAUCCACACUGACCAACGACGUUUUUAUAGUUGUUCUGCUGGCACUGACAUGUUUGAUCUUUGCUGUUCGGCUGGGAUUAGUCAUUUGGAGACACUGGAAGAGACCACUGGAAGCAUCAGAAUCCCGAGGCCCAUCAGGCACAGUGGCCUGAGACCUCUGGCACUUCGUGGCUGAUACUUGAAAGGGAGAAAAAAGAAUUGGGCAUGUGCUGGUCCUUCCCUCCUGUAUCCAUUUCCUUGUGCAUUUCUCUCCUAUUCCCCAUUCCAAAUGCAGAUGUCUUGCAUCUGCAAAUGUGUCCUGCUCCCACAUUCCUUCGGAUCAGCUACUCACAACCCUGUAUUGAAUCCUUUUGAUUUUACCCUGGAAAAGUUCAGGAAAAAGUCCUGAGCAGCCCUGUGCACCUUUGUGGUGCCAGGGCUGUGGCUCUCUUCUCCUGCCAACAGGCACCCAGCAGGCUUGCACACAUAGUUGUUCUUGUUUUUCCCUUGGUAUCUCCCUUUCUUUGAAGUGCAGAUCCAAGUGAACUGUCCCUGGGGUUCCAGGGGAGCAGUGGGAUGUCUGUCAUUCCCUUGGCCAUUGGUGCUGAGCAUCCUCAAGCCCUGGUGCUGCUGUCUGCAGAUCUCCUGCAGGCAGCCACUGCUCCUUUCCUGCUUCUCUUCAGCAUGACAGGAACAGAUACUACAAUUUGAUAUCUGCCUUUGCAGUGCCAGCUCUGCUGUUUGAUGUUCAGGGGGGCAGGGGGAGUGACUGGAGAUUUCUGACACAAAUGUGUUGCCUUUCCCUGAGCUGUGCACAGCUUGGGCUGGCUGGAUGUCUCUCACUGGGGAGGGUUUGUGGCCUCUCUGGAAGGAGGUUAGAUGUACAGAUGAGCUGGUACCUGAUCUGGGGUGAAGCCUGAUGCUUCAAAGGAAACCUGUUUAAAAAAAAAAAAAAAAAUUGAACCAGUAGAGCAAGUUCAUGCUGGAUCAGUGCCUUCUCAUGUGGCUUCACCACUUCUGAGUUGGGAUUAGGAAGCCUAAAACUGGAUUGACUGAAUUUUUGGACCACUGCCUUUCCUUCCUGUGCCUAAUUGAGAGCUGGUGGUGCCUCACAGGUGUCUGGAAAGUCUUUGCACCAGGAAGGUGCUGUCAGUGCAUCCUGCAGUAUUAUUAACAAAACUAAAUUCUAAAAUAACAUGUGCUGUUGUUUACAUUUAGCAAAAACCAAAAGCAUUGUAAUUCAAUUCUUCUCCUCAUUCUGGUGUGGUUUUUUUAAAAUUUUCAAAUAAAUCAGCUAAUUCUACCA
rnacentral:lncRNA from 1 species